AUUGAACGCUGGCGGCAGGCCUAACACAUGCAAGUCGAGCGAAUGAGGGAAGCUUGCUUCCCGAUUUAGCGGCGGACGGGUGAGUAAUGCCUAGGAAUCUGCCUAUUAGUGGGGGAUAACGUUCCGAAAGGAACGCUAAUACCGCAUACGUCCUACGGGAGAAAGUGGGGGAUCUUCGGACCUCACGCUAAUAGAUGAGCCUAGGUCGGAUUAGCUAGUUGGUGAGGUAACGGCUCACCAAGGCGACGAUCCGUAGCUGGUCUGAGAGGAUGAGCAGCCACACUGGAAAUGAGACACGGUCCAGACUCCUACGGGAGGCAGCAGUGGGGAAUAUUGGACAAUGGGCGAAAGCCUGACUCAGCCAUGCCGCGUGUAUGAUGAAGGUCUUAGGAUUGUAAAGCACUUUCAGAGGGGAGGAAAGGGCGCUGGCUAAUAUCCAGCGCAGUUGACGCCACCCUCAGAAGAAGCACCGGCUAAUUCCGUGCCAGCAGCCGCGGUAACAC
rnacentral:rRNA from 1 species